UACGAAGGGGGCUAGCGUUGUUCGGAAUUACUGGGCGUAAAGCGCACGUAGGCGGACUAUUAAGUCGGGGGUGAAAUCCUGGAGCUCAACUCCAGAACUGCCUUCGAUACUGGCGAUCUUGAGUCCGGAGAGGUGAGUGGAACUCCGAGUGUAGAGGUGAAAUUCGUAGAUAUUCGGAAGAACACCAGUGGCGAAGGCGGCUCACUGGCCCGGUACUGACGCUGAGGUGCGAAAGCGUGGGGAGCAAACAGG
rnacentral:rRNA from 1 species